UACGUAGGGUGCAAGCGUUAUUCGGAAUCACUGGGCAUAAAGGGCGCGCAGGCGGUGACGUAAGUCAGUGGUGAAAUCCCUCGGCUCAACCGAGGAACUGCCAUUGAUACUGCGUUACUAGAGUGUGGGAAGGGUAGACGGAAUUCCAGGUGGAGCGGUGAAAUGCGUAGAUAUCUGGAGGAACGCCAGAGGCGAAAGCGGUCUGCUGGCCCACAACUGACGCUGAGGCGCGAAAGCUAGGGUAGCAAAUGGG
rnacentral:rRNA from 1 species